AGAACGAACGCUGGCGGCAUGCCUAAUACAUGCAAGUCGAACGAACACUUCGGUGUUAGUGGCGCACGGGUGCGUAACGCGUGGGAAUCUGCCCUUGGGUUCGGAAUAACAGUUGGAAACGACUGCUAAUACCGGAUGAUGACGAAAGUCCAAAGAUUUAUCGCCCAGGGAUGAGCCCGCGUAGGAUUAGCUAGUUGGUGAAGGUAAAGGCUCACCAAGGCGACGAUCCUUAGCUGGUCUAGAGAGGAUGAUCAGCCACACGUCGGGACUGAGACCGACGGCCCACGACCGUCCGUACGGGACGGCAGGCGUAAGGUAAGGUAGUAAGUUGGGAACCAAGUCGGG
rnacentral:rRNA from 1 species